CAACCUCAACUCAUAUGGGACUACCCCCUGAAUUUAAGCAUAUUAAUUAGGGGAGGAAAAGAAACUAACAAGGAUUUUCUUAGUAGCGGCGAGCGAAAAGAAAUCAGUUCAGCACUAAGUCACUUUGUCUAUAUGGCAAAUGUGAGAUGCAGUGUACGGAACAUCAACAUUCUAGUAUGAGAAGUUAACGAUUUAAGUCCUUCUUAAAUGAGGCCAUUUACCCAUAGAGGGUGCCAGGCCCGUAUAACGUUAAUGAUUACUAGAUGGUGUUUCCAAAGAGUCGUGUUGCUUGAUAGUGCAGCACUAAGUGGGUGGUAAACUCCAUCUAAAACUAAAUAUAACCAUGAGACCGAUAGUAAACAAGUACCGUGAGGGAAAGUUGAAAAGAACUCUGAAUAGAGAGUUAAAUAGUACGUGAAACUGCUUAGAGGUUAAGCCCGAUGAACCUGAAUAUCCGUUAUGGAAAAUUCAUCAUUAGAAUUGUAAUAUUUUAAACAAUAUUAUAAUAAUAGUGUGCAUUUUUUCCAUAUAAGGACAUUGUAAUCUAUUAGCAUAAAUAUUUAUCAUAAAAUUAUGUCUGAUUGCUUAUUUGAAUUAUAUGCUUGGCAUUUUAACAUAAA
rnacentral:ncRNA from 1 species